rnacentral:rRNA from 1 species
AACGAACGCUGGCGGCAGGCUUAACACAUGCAAGUCGAGCGGGCCCUUCGGGGUCAGCGGCGGACGGGUUAGUAACGCGUGGGAACGUGCCCUUUGCUCUGGAAUAGCCCUGGGAAACUGGGGGUAAUACCGGAUGUGCCCUGAGGGGGAAAGGUUUACCGGCAAGGGAUCGGCCCGCGUCUGAUUAGGUAGUUGGUGGGGUAACGGCCCACCAAGCCGACGAUCGGUAGCUGGUUUGAGAGGAUGAUCAGCAACACUGGGACUGAGACACGGCCCAGACUCCUACGGGAGGCAGCAGUGGGGAAUCUUAGACAAUGGGCGCAACCCUGAUCUAGCCAUGCCGCGUGAGUGAUGAAGGCCUUAGGGUCGUAAAGCCCUUUCAGCUGGGAAGAUAAUGACGGUACCAGCAGAAGAAGCCCCGGCUAACUCCGUGCCAGCAGCCGCCGUAACAC